UCCUCCUCUGUCAACUGUCUGCCAGACAGUGGAAAUCAAACAGAAACUCAGCUUGCACUAAAAAUCAAAAAUUCUGAAUCCAUUCUGAUAAAAGAUUGUGAACCUGAAUCCUUAAAUUUGUUUCUCUCCUCACAGCAGUUCCUUACCUGUUGACCGAUUCUGGUGAUUCCGGUUUCUUUUUAUUCCAUUCACUCUGGAAUGGUUUAAAUUUCCUGAUUGUUUGUUAUACUUGUGUAAAGGGGGUUUCUUCUUUUUUCUUUGUUACUGUGUUUGUAAUCAAAAUGGCUUCUUUGUUUUGUUAAAAGCAGGAAUGCUUCUUUGUUGUGAGAGAGUGCUGGAAGCUUGUUUGGGUUAAAAUUUACUGAUAACGAGAAUUGUAUUCCUUUGUAAACCAAUUGGGAUUAAUGUUGUUCUUUCUUCUGAGUCUGUAAGCUAUUGUUGGCGGGCUUUUUGGGAGAUCGGCGCGAGGGGGUGAGAGAGAGAGGACGCGAUGCUGUAAGCUGGGUGAGGAAUGGACUCCAAGCGGGGGUGCGAGGCCAGGAGGUACCCCGAGGAGAGGAGAUGAAGCUAGAUGUGCUUGGUUGACCACUUCGGAUGGUCCUAAGCUGCGAGUCGAGGAGUUCUGAGGGGAGCGAAUGGUGGCCAGAAGACUUCAGUAAUUGAGCUCCAACAGUUGUGCACGAAGUGGUUUGGACUUUGAUAAUUGGACCAGCGGUGAGAGAUUUCUUUGAAGAGAAACCCACAACUGGAAGCAAACCAUGACUGAAGAUGAGGGAACAGCAGCAAGUGAACCAGCCCGUUGACUGAGUGCACCGACUGGAGAGAAACCCUUCUGAUUCAGGGUUUCCAUUGAUUCCGUCAGGAGCAAGUUUGGUUAAAACUGACAAGGAUCUUGUCUAUGGGAAUCUCGAACACAACACGCCAGUUUUGCUGUCUCUGUCCAGAUAUUGAAGAAGUGGAACAAGGGAUUCACUUGAUCAUCUGACUGACGGGCAUGCCUGUCAGUUUACAGAGGGGAAAGGCUGUUCACCUUUUCAAACUGUGGGGAUUCGAGGUCAUCUCAUGAAGAUAAAUCAGCAAGUUCACACUGGGACAAGGCCAUUCACCUGUUCUGUGUGUGAGAAGGGAUUCAGUCGGUCAUCCCACCUGUGGACACACCAGUCAGUUCACACUGGGCAGCAUUUGGAAAUGCUGACCGGCCUGCUGAGCUCCUCCAGCAUUUUGCGUGUGGAACAUGUUACUGUACAAGAAGUGGAUCAGCUGCGGAACCUGCUUCUAAAACCUUCACUCAGUGGAAUAUAAAACAUCCAUAAAUUGCCAUUGACUGCGGUAUUCAGAAAUUAUGGUGGAAAUGCUUUCUCGUCGUGCAGUCAGCAUUGAGCAUUGGGAUGAUUUCAUAACCUAACAACUUUACUGGAAAUUUGAAUUCGAUUGAACAUAUCAAUUGAAUAAAAUCCCGGCUCCCACUUUAUCUGGAACGUUGGAUGCUUAGCAACAUGUGGUUGUACAAUUCAUUUGAUUCACCCAGGAAGUUCACGUUCGCAAAACUACGGUCUGGCCUGUUCCAGACCAACAACAACGUGACAACUUUCACUGCGGACUGAUAAGUGCAAGCAACUGAUUCAGUUCAUUUACAAAUGAUAUUUGUGUUUGUUGCCAACUGCGUCAGCGAUCCUGCACCACGUGAUAGGAGAAACGUACUAAGGGGUUAAACAAUGACAUUGGAGAGCAAGGAACUGGAAACAUAACUGCAGGACAGUGAACAACUCCGGAAAAUCUGGAUUUAACUCAUUUCAAUUGUCCACAAUGUUGGUUAUGAGGUAACAUCUCCAUUGCUAUUAAUUAUUCUUCUACAUUCUUCAGGUUUUAUCUCCCGUCCAUUUUAAUCUCGGAAAACGCUAAUGAAUUGAGUUUACAUUUAUCGGAACCGCUCUGACACUACCUAAUUUCAAACGCUACUCCUACGGAUAAACUCAGAGAGUGGGACUGCAUCACCACAGAAUGAUCUUUUGCUUGAAGUGUUUUAAUACUUAACGCGCUUUCUUCACUAAAAGACAUUUAACCCCACUGGGCCAUUACAAAGCACCAUAACCGAAUGUGUCCGGCUCAUUUUACCGUCCGAUAAUGCAAGUAGAAUUAGAAAAGGCACAACGGGAGACCCAGCACCUUCCAGUAGCUUCAGCAUUUCAGAAUUAAUUUCCGAACCAAUACACACAUGGGACACGACUUAGUCAGUCAGAGACAGAUUAUUUACGAUAGGAACUAAAUAUGCAAAGGAAUCAGUCUGAAUUUUAAAUCAGACAUCAGACUCUGAUGGUACCUGCAAGUCGAAGUGAAUUCAGGAUUUUGCUCCAUAUCAAGUUUAAAACAUUUUCAUGGGGAUCAUGAAACUGAACAUACGGCAACCCCACCCUUUCAGCAGCUUAUUCUCGGAAAACGUACGUGGAAACGAAGUGGCACAGCUUGUGCAGGAAUUACAGGACAAUUCUGAUGUUUCAGUAAUUAGAAACGACUUCUUAAUGACUUAACAUUAUACAAGAGAUACACCAACUUAGAUUGCUCAAUAUAUUUCCGGGAAUCCCGAUAUAUGAAGUUGCUUCACUGAUUGGAACGGUUCUCCAUAAAGUGUUUUUGAAUGCUGAAAACCGGGCAGAGUUCACAGUCAGCACGUCAGCUUCAUAUUGAGUUUAUUCUGGGUAGGUAGAGUCAAAAAUAGGUCAUUGAAUGCUCUUUGUUUGAUAACCUGUACUGUUCACGCUGAUUUUAAUAUAACGGCUGUGAACGUGUGACUGGGACUAGGACAGACGUCUGGAUUUCCAGACGUAUCGCGCUCUUUGGAAAUUGGAGAAUGAUUAAGGCUACAUUCAGUCCAGCAGGAAAACCAGACAGAAAGUCUCCAGAUGAUUCUGAUUUUGAAUUUACAUUUUAAAAUCUAAAAACAGGCAUUGAAGACUUGAGAAAAUGGUGUCGUUGAAUCAGAAUAAAUGCAAUGAGACCAUAAAACCUUGGAAAGAAUUAGGCCAUUCUGCCAGUCCGAUUCACCACCAUUGCAUUAUGGUUGAUUUAUUGUUAAUUUUAUACCUUCAUGCCCCUGACCUUUGAUGCUCUGAUUAACUGACUCCACUAUUGAGGCAUUGCAACAUUUGAAAGGUUUCAAAGAGAUCCCCCUCAUUCUUCUGAAUUCCUGCGAAUACAGACUCAGAGCUAUCAAUUCACAGUAAUUGUUUACAAUCAAGUAGCUUGCAACAAGUGUCACUACAAAGAGUUCACAGUUCAAUACCAUCACAGUACAACAUCCUGGGAAACAAAAUGAAUCCAGGAAUAUAUAAAGCAGGACAUUAGCUUGAAUGAUCGGGACAGUAGUCGGAUCAGGCCUGUCUGAAAGCGGCCUGGUCGAGGGAAGUGCCUAGUGUGAGAAGUGCUCAUCUUUGGCUCGAGAGAUUCUGGCAUUUUUGGCAGUUGGAUAGUGCAAUCAAGAAUUGAUUAGCAGUUGAUUGGCAAUCAAGAUUUGAAUAGCUCAGACUCAGCAGAAAACAGCUGAUUGGGCAAUCGAGGUCAGGUGACCUUGCAACGCGCAAAGUUCAAGCAAAUAAAAAGAGGGAGAUCUCUAGCGGUGCGGCCUGGUUGAGGGAAGUGCCUGGUGUGAAAAGUGCUAGUCUUUGGCUCAAGAGUCUCAGGCGAGGAGGCUGAGGGAGGAGACUACGCCAGGCACAAUUGGAGAGUGUGAAGGUAUGACCGCUAAGCUGAUUCAGUGUGCUACGUGCAUGAUGUGGGAGAUCAGGGACACUGAUGGUGCCCCCGGCUGCUACAGCUGUAGAAAGUGUGUCCAGAUUCAGCUUCUGAAGGAGCAUGUUGCAGCACUGAAGAAAGAACUGGAUGACCUCAGGUUUAUCCGUGAAAAUGAGAGUUUUCAGGACAGGACCUACAGUCAAGUCGUUACACCAAGGAUACCGGAAGAGAGAAAGGGGGCGACGAUGAUGACGGAAAGGAUGCUUGAAAUACAGGAGACACCAGGCAUGUACCUCUCGAAAACAGGUUCACCCUCUUGGAAGCUGUCAGGACAGAAGAUACUGCCAGUCUGAGAGGCGGACAGGGUUGCAAGCCAAAAAUUGGUGCAGAAGCAGAGCCGAGGAGUCAGACAUCAGGAAGAGCCGUGGUAAUAGGGGACUCCAUAGUGAGAGGUAUGUUCCUGCGGCAACAGGCGAGAUUUAAGGAUGCUAUGUUGUCUCCCUGGUGCUAGGAUCCAGGACAUCACGGACCGAUUGCAGGGAAUUCUCAAGGGUGAAGGUGAACAGCCGGAGGUGGUAGUGCAUGUCAGCACAAAUGACAUCGGGAAGAAGAGGAAGGACAUUCUGCAGCGGGACUUCAGAGAGCUCGGAAGAAGUCUGAAAAGCAGGACUUCCAGGAUGAUUAUCUCUGGUUUGCUUCCAGUUCCAAGUGCUGGAGAGGGCAGGAACAGAGAGAUAAUGGAUUUGAAUGUGUGUCUGAAGAACUGGUGCAGGAAGCAAGGAUUUACAUUAUUGGACCACUGGGAUCUGUUUUGGGGUAGGAAUGAAUGUUACAAAAGGGACUGAAUCCCUUACUGCCAGACAGGUUUGCCA